CCCGCCCACUAGAGGUCCAGCUCGCACGCGUGCUUCCUGGCCUUUCCUUAGGCCUCUUCCGGGAUUCCUCUUGGGCCGACGCUUGGCUGGGCUUGGGCUCCGGUUCGGGUUCUGUCUCGGGGCCUCGGCGGCCGAAUCCGAGCGGACCGCGAGCCUGCCCUGGAGCCUGCCAGAAGGCAAUUAGGAGGAUGGACCCGGUUGCCAUGGCAACGUCUGAAUAGCUACUGUCGUCUGGCUGCUGUGAAUCCUGCUCUGGACGGGCAGAGGAGUGAUGUGGACAGUCUGCCUGCGUGGAUGAGGAUUGAUCACUCCCCAAAGCAGCCUGUGAGCCCUUUUCUAAACACCGGUUGUGUGAAAGGCAACAUUGUCUGAAGAAGGCAUGCUGGGAUCUGUAAUUAAAGUAACAAGUAGGGGAAGUACUCUUAUUCCCGGUUCAUGAAAAUUGGUGGUAUCUGGGCCUUCGAGAUGGCUCAGUAAAGCCCUUGCUACACGAGCCUGAUAACCUGAAUUAGAACCACGUCACAAAGUUGUCUUCUGACUUCUGUAUGUGUGCCACUGCACACCGUCCCCCAGUAAUAAGCAAAGUAUUAAGCAAAUAGAAGCAUUAAAAAAUAUCUUAUUGGGGCUCAGCGGUUAAGAGCACUGGUUGUUCUUCCAGAAGACCCAGGUUCGAAUCCCAGCACCCACAUGGCAGCUAACAACAUAAAAAUGUGUAUGAGUGUAUUUUCUGCAUGUGUGUAAGUGCACCCAUAUCAUGCAGUGCCGGCAGAGGUCAAAAGAUGUAGAUCUCUUGGACCUGGAGUUACACGUGGUUGCUAGCCAUCAUGUGGGUGUUAGGAAUGAACCUGGGUCCUCUGCAAGAGCGGCCAGUGCUUUUAACCACUGAGCCAUCUCUCCAGCCCCAUAGGAACAUUUUAAAGUUGGUAGUGUUUAAGGAGGCCUGACUGUAUGCUAAGCCCUUACCUGAGUGCUUUUGUGCACAUAACUGCAUUUUUACUAUAACCAAAGUCUAGGCCCUGUUAAUCCUAUCUAACAGAUAAGGAAAUUUAGACUCAGAGAAAUAAGUUGUCCAGUCAUGCUGGCAUGUAGCUCAGUGUUAGAGCACUUACCUUGUUAUGUAUGAAACCCUGGUUUCAGUCGGUGUAGCAAAAAUCACAGUAGUGGGCUAAUUUUUGUUUUGUUUCUUUUAGACAGGGUCCUGUGUAGCUCAGAUUAGCUUGGAUUCUCUAUGCAGCCAAGGCUGUCCUUCAAUUCCUGAUCCUUCUGCUUCAAUCACCUCACCCCCCAAGUUGCUAGGGUUACAGGUGUGCGCCACCAUGCUCAGUUUUAUACAAUACUGGGGCUUUAACCCAGGGCUUCAUAUAUGCUAGGCAAGCAUUCUACUGGCCAAACAUAAAAUUCUCCCAUAUGAACUGCAUCCCCACUCCACAUCUGGCUAUUUCUAAGCCAUGGUUUUUAAUCCCUAUGCCAGUGUUCUGAGGGGUUUUCAAGUGGGUCUUUGAAGGAUGGUGUGAGUACAUUCUGGGCAGGAGAGCUAUAUAAAGAUGUGGGAGCCAGGGAUGGUGGUACAUACCUGUGAACCCUGCAUGUGGGAGGCAGAGGCACAAAGAUCUUGAGUUUGAGGUCAGCAAACACAGCAGUUAACUCCAGUUCCAGGGAAUCUGGUGCCCUCUUCUGGCCUCCUUGGGCAUUGCAUGCCAAACAAAAGUGCACUUGCAUACCUGCAAGCAAAACAUACACACAUUAAAUAAAUCGAGAAAAAUUUUAAAAGAAUUGCUUCUUGCUGGGUAUGGUGGCACGCGCCUUUAACCCCAGCCCUCAGGAGGCAGAGGCAGGCAGAUCUCUGCCUGGUUCACGUAGUGACUUUCAGGUGAACUGGGACUAGGGAGAUCCUGUCCAAAAAAAAAAAAAAAACACAAAAAGAACUACUUCUUCAAACAAAAAGAAAAAAGGAAGGAAGGAGGGUGUGUUUGGACCUCCAUCGGGGUAGCUGCUCGGAGGUCAGCAGAUUGCCAAGAGUGCCGGGUUCUGGCCUCCCUCUGGCCUCCAACUACCAGAGGGCCUGAGAACCCAGGGGACAGCCUGCCAGCCCCCAGAUCCUGCCUCCAUGUGGUGGUUCUUUUACUAAGAUGAUGCUAUUCAGCAGUCCCUUCUGCAUGAAAUAACUACCAUCACCAGGGCUUCAGCUGAGCCUGAUCGCUAAACAUAGCCACAAUUUGGCUUGUUGACUGUUGUGCUCAUUCAUUAAAGGAGUGCCAAGCAGGGUCACUGGACCAUCACCUGAGUAUCCAGCCACUCUUCCCAGCCAACUAGUCCAGCCUUGGAAGACAAAAGAAAAAUGAGAAAGAACCCAAUAGAGGGAUGCUUUUGGAAGCCCUUGUCAAGAAACUCCAGUGGACUCUCAUAUGAACAUUUGAAAAUUGCCCUGUUCUGACUUUUUUCUAGUUCCCUGUCUAGAACUUGUAAUGCUAAUUACUCUUGCCUUUACUUCUCCUUCACAUCUCCUAUUCAUGAUUCAAAGACUUUCUUUUCCCCUUAGAGACAAGAGUUAUGCAAUUUGGGAGUCUUAGACCCACUGAAGGGGUACCCCAAUUGCCUCACCAUGGAAGAAGCCAGAGCAGUCUGCAUCCCUGAUUCCCUAUUGGCAAUUUGGGUAACCCCUUCAGAGGAUGGUGUGAUAAGAAUAGGAGGUAGGAAUUAGCUAGGCAGUUAGGGUAAAAAGACCCCAAAGAAAUGUAGCCAGUUGCUUGACUAAAAGUCAAAAUGUUCUUGGGCCUGUUAGCAAUAUACUCUGUUCCAAGGCCAAAAAUGUCAAAAGUAUUUGGGAGCUUGUAUCUAAUCCUUAAAAGAUUUUAGGGUUACCUCUUGAGAGGGGGGGAAUGUUGGAGGGGAGGGAGUGAGCAUGGAUUUGAUCAAAGCACCUUAUAUGAAUAUGAAAUUCUCAAUAAAGUUUUUGUAAAAAAGGAA
ensembl:lincRNA